rnacentral:rRNA from 1 species
AAAGGAAUUGACGGGGACCCGCACAAGCAGUGGAGUAUGUGGUUUAAUUCGACGCAACGCGAAGAACCUUACCGAGGCUUGACAUUGUGCCGAAAGGGUCGGAAACGACUCCCCCCUUUUAGGGCGGCAUAACAGGUGGUGCAUGGUUGUCGUCAGCUCGUGUCGUGAGAUGUUGGGUUAAGUCCCGCAACGAGCGCAACCCUUGUCAUUAGUUGCCAGCAAGAAAGAUGGGCACUCUAAAGAGACUGCCGGUGAUAAAUCGGAGGAAGGUGGGGACGACGUCAAAUCAUCAUGCCCCUUAUGUCUCGGGCUACACACGUACUACAAUGGCUAUUACAGCAGGAAGCGAAGGAGCAAUCCGGAGCGAAUCCCAAAAGAUAGUCCCAGUUCGGAUUGCGGGCUGCAACCCGCCCGCAUGAAGCAGGAAUUGCUAGUAAUUGCAGGUCAGCAUACUGCAGUGAAUACGUUCCCGGGUCUUGUACACACCGCCCGU